rnacentral:rRNA from 1 species
GAUGAACGCUGGCGGCGUGCCUAAUACAUGCAAGUCGAGCGAACAGACGAGGAGCUUGCUCCUCUGACGUUAGCGGCGGACGGGUGAGUAACACGUGGAUAACCUACCUAUAAGACUGGGAUAACUUCGGGAAACCGGAGCUAAUACCGGAUAAUAUAUUGAACCGCAUGGUUCAAUAGUGAAAGACGGUUUUGCUGUCACUUAUAGAUGGAUCCGCGCCGCAUUAGCUAGUUGGUAAGGUAACGGCUUACCAAGGCGACGAUGCGUAGCCGACCUGAGAGGGUGAUCGGCCACACUGGAACUGAGACACGGUCCAGAAUCCUACGGGAGGCAGGAGUAGGGAAUCUUCCGCAAUGGGCGAAAGCCUGACGGAGCAACGCCGCGUGAGUGAUGAAGGUCUUCGGAUCGUAAAACUCUGUUAUUAGGGAAGAACAAAUGUGUAAGUAACUAUGCACGUCUUGACGGUACCUAAUCAGAAAGCCACGGCUAACUACGUG